rnacentral:tRNA from 2 species
GCCCGAGUGGUGGAAUGGUAUACGCAGCGGACUCAAAAUCCGCCGGGAGCGAUCCCUUGCGAGUUCGAGUCUCGCCUCGGGCA